AACGAACGCUGGCGGCAUGCCUAACACAUGCAAGUCGAACGAGACCUUCGGGUCUAGUGGCGCACGGGUGCGUAACGCGUGGGAACCUGCCCUUAGGUUCGGAAUAACUCCCCGAAAGGGGUGCUAAUACCGGAUAAUGUCUUCGGACCAAAGAUUUAUCGCCUUUGGAUGGGCCCGCGUUGGAUUAGCUAGUUGGUAGGGUAAAAGCCUACCAAGGCGACGACCCAUAGCUGGUCCGAGAGGAUGAUCAGCCACACUGGGACUGAGACACGGCCCAGACUCCUACGGGAGGCAGCAGUGGGGAAUAUUGGACAAUGGGCGAAAGCCUGAUCCAGCAAUGCCGCGUGAGUGAUGAAGGCCUUAGGGUUGUAAAGCUCUUUUACCCGGGAUGAUAAUGACAGUACCGGGAGAAUAAGCUCCGGCUAACUCCGUG
rnacentral:rRNA from 1 species